rnacentral:misc_RNA from 1 species
AUGAAGAUGAUAACGAUCAAGAGGUAUAAAAAAAAUGGCUCAUCAAUCGGUUAAAUUGUACGGAUCUGAUGAAGAAGAGGGAAAAUGUGAAGCGUGGGAGAGAGAGGAUAUAGAGUAGGGAAGGGAAGUGUCCACCUCAGCGGAAAUCACUGAGAAUUUCUAAUUGGUCGAGACUUCAAUAUUACUACUCUCUUCCUUUCUCUCUCUAAAU